GACGAACGCUGGCGGCGUGCUUAACACAUGCAAGUCGAACGGAAAGGCCCUGCUUUUGUGGGGUGCUCGAGUGGCGAACGGGUGAGUAACACGUGAGUAACCUGCCCUUGACUUUGGGAUAACUUCAGGAAACUGGGGCUAAUACCGGAUAGGAGCUCCUGCUGCAUGGUGGGGGUUGGAAAGUUUCGGCGGUUGGGGAUGGACUCGCGGCUUAUCAGCUUGUUGGUGGGGUAGUGGCUUACCAAGGCUUUGACGGGUAGCCGGCCUGAGAGGGUGACCGGCCACAUUGGGACUGGGAUACGGCCCAGACUCCUACGGGAGGCAGCAGUGGGGAAUAUUGCACAAUGGGCGGAAGCCGGAUGCAGCAACGCCGCGUGCGGGAGGACGGCCUUCGGGUUGUAAACCGCUUUCGCCUGUGACGAAGCGUGAGUGACGGUAAUGGGUAAAGAAGCACCGGCUAACUACGUG
rnacentral:rRNA from 1 species